UUAUGAAAGCUGGACAGAAGAAGACAAACAAUUUCGA
rnacentral:sRNA from 1 species